AGCAGCCGCGGUAAUUCCAGCUCCGAUAGCGUAUAUUAAAGUUGUUGUAGUUAAAAAGCUCGUAGUUGAAUUUCGGGAUUGACCCAUCGGUCGUGCCUUAAGGGGUAUGAACUGGUGUAGUCAAUUUCUCACCUUCUGGAGAACCGUGAUGUCCUUAAUUGGGUGCCACGAGGAACCAGGACCUUUACUUUGAAAAAAUUAGAGUGUUUAAAGCAGGCAUUUAUGCUUGAAUACAUUAGCAUGGAAUAAUAAAAUAGGACGGCAUGAUUCUAUUUUGUUGGUUUCUAGGAUCACCGUAAUGAUUAAUAGGGAUAGUUGGGGGCAUUAGUAUUCAAUUGUCAGAGGUGAAAUUCUUGGAUUUAUUGAAGACUAACUACUGCGAAAGCAUUUGCCAAGGAUGUUUUCAUUAAUCAAGAACGAAAGUUAGGGGAUCGAAGACGAUCAGAUACCGUCGUAGUCUUAACCAUAAACUAUGCCGACUAGGGAUCGGAUGAUGUUAAUUUUUAAUGACUCAUUCGGC
rnacentral:rRNA from 1 species